rnacentral:rRNA from 1 species
UUCGGGGUUAGUGGCGGACGGGUGAGUAACACGUGGGAAUGUGCCCUUAGGUUCGGAACAACACAGGGAAACUUGUGCUAAUACCGGAUGUGCCCUUCGGGGGAAAGAUUUAUUGCCUUUGGAGCAGCCCGCGUCUGAUUAGCUUGUUGGUGAGGUAAAGGCUCACCAAGGCGACGAUCAGUAGCUGGUCUGAGAGGAUGGCCAGCCACAUUGGGACUGAGACACGGCCCAA